UUGAGUUUUAAGUUAAACUAAACUGUAAGCCUUCCAAGCUUAAAAUAAACACAUUUAAACUCAA
rnacentral:tRNA from 1 species